rnacentral:rRNA from 1 species
GAUGAACGCUGGCGGCGUGCCUAAUACAUGCAAGUCGAGCGGAGAAUUUAGCAAUAGAUUCUUAGCGGCGAACGGGUGAGUAACGCGUUGGUGACCUGCCUCGAAGUUUGGGAUAACAGUUCGAAAGGACUGCUAAUACCGGAUGUGAUCACGAAGAUUAGAGGCUUUGUGAUUAAAGGAGAAAUUCGCUUCGAGAGGGGCCUGCGUCCCAUCAGCUAGUUGGUAAGGUAAAGGCUUACCAAGGCGAUGACGGGUAGGGGACCUGAGAGGGUGGCCCCCCACAAUGGAACUGAAACACGGUCCAUACACCUACGGGUGGCAGCAGUAGGGAAUAUUGCAUAAUGGGCGAAAGCCUGAUGCAGCAACGCCGCGUGUGCGAUGAAGGCCUUGGGUCGUAAAGCACUUUGGAGGGGAUGAGGAAGGACAGUACCCUUCGAAUAAGCUUCGGCU